rnacentral:other from 1 species
UGACCCCUGCAGUGUUCGUGUCGAAGGCAAGCAGUUGAAGGAACCGAUACCCGUACUGAGGGAAAUCAGACCUUGUCGGACCGGAAAUGCCCGCACGAUGGGACUUUCGGCCGCAAGCAACGAUUGCCCACCUGAAUGUAAUGGGUUCCCUUCAAUGGUCCUCGAUACGGCACAGGUGGAGGUGAG